UUGCAAGACCUUGUCACCAUGUCGGAUGAUGGUAUUCAGCUUCACCAGUUGCAGAGUUGGACACCUGAGGAUGUUAGAAAAUACUUCACGAAGAAUGACUUAUCUAAAGAGGGAAUUAUCCUCGAGCGUAAUAACAUCAAAGGAAGUAAUUUAUUGCGGAUUACUGAUGAAACGCUGAAAGUCAUGGGAGUAAAAACCAUUCGCGAGAGGUUGUCCGUCAUAGACCUCAUCGACAAUCUGGCAAAAAGCUUCAGAACUGUCAACACCAAGGU